AUGUCCCCAACCCUCUCUAGCUUUUCGUUGCCACAUUUGGUGGCAUUAGCACACAGACUCAUGUGUUCCUGGUUCUUCCUUCCUUGGCAUUUGCGCAACCCCUUCCCUCCCCACAAUGUCCUUGUGACCUGCCUAUCUGGGGUCCCCUGGAGAUGUUUCAUGCUUGCUCAAGAGCCACAGUCUCCCCCAGAUGCCCACAGAUGGGCACUCCAUGGAGCACCUGCAGCUACAUCAGGUUCCACGAAACCCCUUUCAUCUGGUGACCUGAGAGCUGUGACCAAUGACGCAGACAGCAAAGGAAACAGAACUGUAACUUUUACGGUUAUAAGUGCCCCUAGACUGGGGAGGUUGGUGCGAGUAAAUUCUGAUAACAGCACAGAGGAUGUUUCCGUGUUCACACAGAAUCUGGUUUAAAAAGCUUAGCUUGAAGAAAAUGGACAUCUGCCAGUCACCUUGGGGCCAGAAAGGAAUUACCUUCAGCCUUGAUCCAGGUGGAAGCUCCUUUCCCCCUCAAUCUACCUUCUUUUUCCUAAGGUCCUAUGAGACAUUUGUACCUGAUAUACAAUGACAAUAGUAUAAAAGAAAAUAUACAAUACAUUUUCUCUUUAACUUUCCUUUUGUAAUAAAUACAGCAUAUAAAAUGACCUCUUUCUUUGAAUCCUUACAAGCUCUGGCCAAUAGUGAUUGUGUCCUAGCCAGGCCAGACCACAAAAUGGCAUUUGUCUUCCCUAGCUAUACCUACCAACUGACUUUUUGCAUUACUAAACUCCUUGAAGUUGGAGCACAUAAUCACGUGAAGUUCUUAGUUGCCUAGAAUCUCAUUGAGCUUUCCAUAGUGAAGGAGCAGUGCAGUAGGAAAAACAUGAAUUCUGGAGUUACAUGGGACUAGAUUAAAAACUGAGCUCUCCCAUUCAUUGGCUAUGAGUGAAUUAUUUACAUUUUGUGAACCUCAGGUUUGUUUUUUGUUUUUUUUAAUCUGUCAAGUGUAUAUAAUAAGGCCCCUAAAGUAAAAUGAGUUACAUAAAAUGCCUUGCAGAGUGUCUGGCACAUAUUUAGGGCUCAGCAAAAGGUAUUGGUUGUAUUUUUGUUAAAUCAAUGGGUAAGAAAUGUCUUGGAUUGCCUUAUUCCUACAGCUUCAUGAUAUAAACAUACUUUAUAAUUAAAUUUUGUAAAGCACUUUUUAAGUAGCUUAUUCAUUAAACAAAUAUUUAUUGAAAUGUCAAGUAUAGGAUGGUGAACUAAUACUUAUUUACAAAGCAACUGGAAGUAAGCUUCUAGAGUAUGUGCCAAAAUUCCAGCCUAACUACUUCUUGGUUUUAUAAGAAAAGAUUUAUUUUAUUAGGCAUAUUCUGGAAAUUUCUAAUUGCUUAAUAUUUUCAUGCCAUGAUCCUUUUAAAAAAUAAGUAUAGCCUUCCAUCUUAACUGGAAUCCUCUGAUGUCCUAAUAAGGAAUUGAUUAGUGAGGACUUAGAUGCUUUCCUAAAAGACUUAGAAAUGCCCAGGGUAUGCUGUUUUGAACAUUAAUAUGGCAAAAGACUAAUUAGGUUAAAUGCGUAUUUACAAGUGAGAUGUUAUUCUAUAUUUUAGUGCAGAAAUGGAGGGUCAGGGAGAUUAAAUGACUGGCAUAAAAGCCACAGAACUGGCUUUUUAUAAAACACCUUUUCUCAAAUUUCACAAGUUGUUUCAAUGAAUAUCCCCUAGAAGAAUAUCCUAAAGAAAAAAAUCCACAGCAUAAAACAGCAUUUAGUUUUCAGGUGUCAUUGGUCUGCUUUAACCUGAAAGCAUCCUGCAGUCACACUGACUUUUGUGACAUGGCCAUUUUUUGAGGAGAACAGGCCAGUCAUUUAUAGAAUGUUCCUCAGCUUGGUUUUAUUGGACAUUUCAUCACAGUCUUAUUCAGGUUGUGCAUUUUGGCAGGUCUGACAUGAGAGAUGCUGAGUUCUCCUCCAGCCUCACGUCAGGAAGCACUGAUGCUCACUCCACUCUGUCACUGAUGAUGUUCUCCAUUUAGUCAGGUGCUAUCUUUCAGGUUUCUCCUUGGCAAACUUACUAUUUUCCUUUUCGCAAUUAAGUAUUUUGUGAGGGAAUACUUUGAAACUAUUUAACUACUCUGUUUUUCAUCACAACUAAAGUAAGCAAUCAUUUUAGGAUUCUUACCUGUGAAAUAUUUAUUACCGGUGUGAUGACAAAUGGUGAUUUUUCUCAUUCUGUUUUUCCUUCCACAUUUACUAGUUGGAAUUCUGCAAAAUUUAAUUUUCUUUUUAAAAAGAUUUUAUUUAUUUAUUUAAGAGAGUGAUCGAGAGAGAGCACAAAGCAGGGGAGGGGCAGAGUGAGAGGGAGAAGCAGACUCCCUGCUAAGCAGGAAGCCUAAUGUGGCGCUUGAUUGAUCCCAGGACUCUGAGAUCAUGACCUGAGCCAAAGGCAGCCGCUUAACUGACUGAGCCACCCAGGCGGCCCCAAAUUUUAAUAUCUAAUGACAUUCAAAAAGACUCCAUCUGUAAAAGAGAAAAUAUCUGGGCUAAUCUAAAUCCAUGGGAAAUAAUAACCUCUCCUCUUCUCUCUCCAUAAUCUCUGAGCCCAGGUAUCCAGUAAGUGGCUUAUCUAUCUAUAUUUAAUACAGUAGAAAUAUGCAGAGCUGUUGGAAAUUGUUCCUAGGGCCACUUUCUAUUUGAGGUAACAAAAUUCCUAAUCCUGUCUGAGAUCCUUUUCUUCUGAGGUUUACCUUACACAUUUUCCCUUAAAGUCUUGGUCUUGUUCUCCCUUUAUCAGCCCUCUCUCACCACGCACACAAACACACACACACACACACACACACACACACACCUUAGAACCUGGUCUUAUUUUAUUAUUUUUUUCAAGUAGGCUCCAUGCCCAGUAUGGAGCCCCACUUGGGGCUAAAACUCAUGACUCUAAGACCUGAGCUGAAAUGUAAAAAAAAAAAAAAAAAAAAAAAAAAAGAUGCUCAACUGAUGGAGCCACCCAAGUGCCCCUAGAACCUGAUUCUUAAAGCUCUCUUUCUUUAAACAUUAAAGACUCUAUUCACCUCAAAGCUCCUUCAGGGCAUGGCUGCCAAGUUGACAUUCCACAGACACACUCAUUCCCUUUUGCUUCUAGCUCAGCACUUUCAAUUAUGUACUGUUUAGUCUUGAAGCUCAGACACUCAAGAUGAUUCUAAUUUGAUUCUCUCACUCUCCAGCAUAAAAUGAGUCAAUAAGGUAUUCACAAUUUCUCACUUUUGUAAUGACUUCAAAAACAGAACUUAUAGCAGACCUCUCUUUCAGAAGUCUUCCAAAGUACACAGCUAUGAUCAGGGCUCCUUUCCAAUUAAUUUCCUUCAGAUUUCUGACUUUCAUCUCAACUGUUCUCAUCUUUGAGAAGCAUUCUUUCCCUGAGACAAUUACUAUUCAUCCUGUAGACAUCAGAAGAUCCUUAGAUUAUUCCAAUAACUUAUAUUUUUCAGAGAAGUUAAUUUUUACUUAACCCAAAGAAGCAAAGGACAAGAAUGGCUGCUUUCAAGAAAAUUUUUCCUUUUAAUCAGUAGACUAUGUUAUUUUAAUAUUAAGAAGCUGGAUGUCUCUUGUCUUAUAAUAUUAUGCCUCUCUCAAGCAGAAUGGGAACCUUUGGAAACCAUUCUCCAAUCCAAAAUCCAUGGCACAGUUAUUUAUUUCUAGGAAGAGGAAUACAUUUAUGAUGAAUAUUUUAUUGUAAAUCUUCAGCUGAGAAUAGAAAUAGUAUAACUGCUAAAUAAAACUGACUUAUUUCCCAGAAACUUCUAGAGCAUAAAGUUACUAGUCAGUACCAGAAAUUAUCUUUGGGGAAACCAAUUUUUUAUGAAUGACCUUGCUUCUUUAUGAAGAAAUGUUGAGAAACGAUAUUUUCUUUUUCCCAUUUAAAAUCCCCAAAUGACAGCAUUUCCUUGCCUUACGCUCGAAUAGGAAAGGAACAAAAAACUUGCCAACAGCUUUUGGACACUGUGGAAAUAGGAAGCUCAUAUUUUGUAAAGCUCACUAGACCAGAAGCUUUUCUAGAACUCUGAUUCUAGGCUUAUCCAUUGUACCAGUAUUGAGCCAGAGUGAUACAUCACCAAACUUUUGUUAGUUAAUACAAUAUUUCCAAAUACUGACUGAUGAAAUAGACUCAACUGCUCUGUAAAUUAUAUGAUAAUUUAUUCUAGGCAUUUUUGACAUGGACACAGAUACCUUGAAGAAACCUACCUGUAAGUUCAGAUACUAUAAUAGAAGGCAGGUCAGAAAAAGAUGUGACCUACAGGAAUGAAAAGAUUAGAUAUUUUUUUCUCUAGCCUUCCCUUCUGUGGUUCGAGAUUGAGAACUUUCAAUCACAGUUGUUAGAGAAAGGACUACUCAUAUGGUAUCUGGACAAAAAAAUACUGGGUGAAGCCCAUCUCCAUCAGUUGAGCUAGAAAAGACAUUCAUUGGCAAGAGACAUCAGGGACUUAGAUUAAAUCUUGAAAAAUGCCCUAAGCAAGAUGGGGAAAUUUGAACAUCAGUGAGAAUAACAACUGCAAUGGAAUGAAAUACAUCAUAUGCUAAAACUCAUAAGAUUAUAAUGAU
rnacentral:lncRNA from 1 species